ACGGCAAUCGGGUUAUGCUUUUAUGUUGUUUGUAAGUGGUACAAUCUUAAAACUAAAGAAUAAUGAAGAAAUAAACAGAAAUAAGUGCUGUCCUUAACAUAUUUCGGUGUUUUUAUUAAAUUUUACUUAACUUGAGCGUCAUUCAUUAUGUUCGAAUGAAUUCAUUGAUAGUUUAAAUAAAGGUUAUAUUUACAUUUUGAUUUACUGCACAAUUACCUUUCAGUCCUGAAUGUUUGUUAAAAUAUAAUUAAACCAUCUGAUAAAACUACACAACAGAUACUACUGAUAGAAAGCAUAACUUUCAAAUGGGACCAAAAGGACUGUGAUAUGUAAACCACCUAUGCAUCGAAAGGUACAUGUAAAGUAAUUAUCUUCUAAUUUGUUCUAGGAAGUACAAAAAGCAAGUAAAGAAGACUACCAAGAUUGACAUGUAAAGAGGAAGUGAGCAACAAUGUGCAUUAAUAACAGAAUGUGCUUUGCUGAUAUCUUUCUAAUGAUGUUAAUAAUGAAUAGCAGGAAUUACAAUCUAACCGACCUGCAAAUACUGCCAAUGGAACACAUGUCAUUAUACUGUUAAGUAGUUGAGCAUAUGAGUUUGUUGCAAAUCUACCUUUAGAAUCAAUUCCCUCUACAAGUAGGCAUUUACCCACAGAUUUCUUUAUGCCCUUCCUUACAUGAUGAUCUAUUGAUAUGGUUUUAAGUUGCAACUUGUGUUUGAAUUAAAUCAUUAGUACAUAGAUUCUCUUUCAAAGUUAAAUCUUAUUUUAAGAGUAUUCUUAUUAUACUAUGGAUUCCUGAUUUAAGGCAUAGUAAUGAGUUAAAAUGUACUUCAAUCCACCAUGAGGUGGUACUUGGUCACUACAUUUUGAUCUGGACAAUGUUCUUUCUUUUAAAUAACUUCAUAAUAAAAACACAUAAACUAAAUGUAAUACCUGCAUUAAUAAAUACACUAAAGAAGUCUGAAAUCAUUAAUUAAAAUGAAUGCUUGUUUGUGUAGAUAAAUAUGUAUAUCACACCAUAAAUCUCAUGUACUGUUAACUUUUUGAUGAAAGUUCAUUUGGUACUUUGCAACAAACUGGUUACCAGAACAACUGUACGCCUUCUAAAAUAGUUUUAACUAUUAUAAACAUUUGAAAUUACUAUGUGUUGUUGUUUAUUACCGUUUCAGAUACAAAAAUAAGUUUAUAUUAAUACAUAAAACUAAUGUAUUCAUAGUAUAAUUGUCUUUCCAACAUUUUUAUUAGCUAAAUAGUUCAUUGUAAGUUACCUUUUCUUUCGUUAACUAUGUACUUCUUGGAGUAGUGCCUUUUGUGGGUAAUUUAUUCGGUAAAGAGCAGCUAGCAAAUGAUAUUAAUAAAAUGCAGAUGUAAAGUAUCUUAUUAAGUUUUAAAAAAUUAUGAAAUCAUUUAAGAUAUAGAGGGUAUUAUUUUUGAAUACUGAUUUAUUUUGAAUUUGUACUAUAAAAGUGUAUAUAAGUAAAUUUGAUUUAAUAGAAUGCAACAGUUUAA